CACCAAGCUAGACAUACUGAUGGUGGUGUCAGAGGUUCUCUGGGUGGUCCCUGGAUGGCUGCUCUGGAUUGGGGUCUUCCUGCCCAUCAUUCUGCUGCUGAUGCAGAUCAUUGUUUACCUGAACUGGAAGUAGAGGCAGAGUUGUCUUCAGCACCUUACCCCAGGGACAUGGCCUCCAGCCUGAGCUACACGACCUCAUCACCCAGGCAGAGACGACAGGCUGAGGGGAAGAUGUACACCUGAGAAGGGGAACUGUGAAUGGCCCCAUACUGGAUAUUGCCCUACUGGGUACAGUACAGCCCUCUGAGAACUCACAGGACAUGCAGGCACAACAGUGUCACAGGGGAGCACAUGGGAUGGAGAUGCUGAAUACAAUUACUAUCCACCGCCAGGUCAUGGAUAAAACACCAGCUAAGACAACAUGAAUGAACAACCUGCAAAGAAUAAGAAUAUGGAAUUCCAAAUCACCGUUUAUAAACUGUUGGAAUGCAGAGACAAUGUGCAUAUUUUAUUACUAAAAUAAUUGUUUAUUGUACCAUCAGUAUUCAAUUAUUUAUAAGAAUUGUUCAAGUUCUUUUCAGACUAUUGCCUAUGGUUGACAGGUCCCAGAAGUCCACAAUGAGCUUCUGUAAAAAGAUCUGAGCCUUUUCUAAAACAAUGAAAACUUUUGAGGAUGGUCUGUUUUUUUGUGGUUCAACAGGAAGCAAGCAAGAACUCAAAGAUGUUUGGCUGCUAAAGGGUGUUGUGUAAAAAGAAACCAAAGUCAUCCAAUUAGAGAAUAACAAAUGUUUAUUUCAGUGUUACACAGAGGGUUAAGGUGGAUGUGGUGGAGAGGGGGAAAACAAUUUUGAAGCUGCUGAAUAUCUAAGAUGAUCUGCUAUACACAUGGUCCAAAGAGCUAAUUGAUGCCGUCAUUGGACUUGGUGGGGUUGGUCAGACUGCAGAGAGAACAAGGCAUGAGGCAGCCAUCUCUAAUCUACAGAUAAAAUAUUAAAAUGGUGGCAACUGUUUCUUUCAGCUCUGAAAUAUAUAUUACAAAUAAAAACAAUUUAAAGGGGCAAACACACCUACAUUAAAUCAGUUUGCAGAUAAAUACACACAAAAAAAGGUUAAAAGACCCCCAAAAAAUUCUACCAAUAUAUUUAUGAUUAAUGAUGCCAGAAAGUCACAGAAAACAAAGUGUCCACGCUUUUUAUUUUUUACUUUUUUUUUCUGAGUGAGGUAUUGGAAAAGCACCUGCACUUUAAUGGAAUGCUUCAGUUUUGAAUGCAUAGAGAAAAACAUGUGUUGGCACUGUAUUGCAAUGUACAAAAUGACACAGUGCUUCACCCUUUGCUGGUCCCUUGGAAACUCACCCAAUUAAAUUAAUUUGCUGUUCUUCUGUCCC